AAAUAAAUAAAUAAAUAAAUAAAAUCUUUAAAAAAAAUAACUAGCCAUUUAUUUAACGAAACCCCUGGAAAACAGGAUAGUGGGAAGGUAUCUUUUUAUUACGAGAGGAGUAGAGAAAGGUCAAGAUCGAAUCAGCUUGAAUUGGAGCCCACUGUAGUCAUGAUGUGGUAUCUUUGUGCUUUUAUCUUGGGUGGGAGGAGGGUUGAUAGUUUUUCUUCCUUUUCCCAGAGACACCAAGAAGGCUAGCGGUAGCAGAUCUGAGAAGAGAUACUCUCAAAGGGAGCUAUGCUGUGGUAUUGCCACAGGGGAAUGUUCAGGGCAACAGGCCGUGGAAUGUCUUGGACAUGGACGAGAAGGCAAAGCAAAAACAGUAAGCAGUGGAGGGAAGGGGUCUUUGGAAAGAGCGAGGAGGGUCACCACACUCCAGGAGGUACAAGAGACCAAUGAACUUUGGACUCAUACCCCACUCACUGGCUAUGAAACCGUGAGAAAGUUAUGUCAAAUCUCUCCGUUUCAUUUGUGUCAUCUCGAAAAUGAGAAUAAUUAUAGCUCCCUGCCUCCCUACUGCGUUGUAGGCUGGUUGAGAGGUUUGGGACGAGAUUGCUGCUAGGGUCCAAAUCUUAGUUUCACCUUUGAAUUUCUCUAAAUCUCAUUUCCUUAGCUAUAUGUGGAACAAUGAGUACCUACCUCACCGAUUGUGGUGAUACUUGCGUGCGUAUCAUUCAUAUUUGAGACAGUAUCCAAAACAUACUUAGGAUGUGACCUGGUAUAGAAUAAAUGCUCAGUUAAUGCUCAGUUAUUCGCUUGUUCCUUCACUCAGCAAGUAUUCAUUGAGGUCUACUAUGUGCCAAAUCCAGUUUAAGUGCUUGGGAAACACGGAUGCACAAAA